rnacentral:rRNA from 1 species
GACGAACGCUGGCGGCGUGCCUAAUGCAUGCAAGUAGAACGCUGAAGGAGGAGCUUGCUCUUCUGGAUGAGUUGCGAACGGGUGAGUAACGCGUAGGUAACCUGCCUGGUAGCGGGGGAUAACUAUUGGAAACGAUAGCUAAUACCGCAUAAGAGUAGAUGUUGCAUGACAUUUACUUAAAAGGUGCAAUUGCAUCACUACCAGAUGGACCUGCGUUGUAUUAGCUAGUUGGUGGGGUAACGGCUUACCAAGGCGACGAUACAUAGCCGACCUGAGAGGGUGAUCGGCCACACUGGGACUGAGACACGGCCCAGACUCCUACGGGAGGCAGCAGUAGGGAAUCUUCGGCAAUGGAAGGAAGUCUGACCGAGCAACGCCGCGUGAGUGAAGAAGGUUUUCGGAUCGUAAAGCUCUGUUGUAAGAGAAGAACGAGUGUGAGAGUGGAAAGUUCACACUGUGACGGUAGCUUACCAGAAAGGGACGGCUAACUACGUG